UACGAAGGUCCCAAGCGUUAUCCGGAUUUAUUGGGUUUAAAGGGUGCGUAGGCGGGCUAUUAAGUCAGUGGAUGAAAUCUCCGAGCCUAACUCGGAAAUUGCCAUUGAUACUGAUGGUCUUGAGUACAUUUGAAGUGGGCGGAAUGUGUCAUGUAGCGGUGAAAUGCUUAGAUAUGACACAGAACACCGAUUGCGUAGGCAGCUCACUAAACUGUAACUGACGCUGAGCACGAAAGCGUGGGGAGCAAACAGG
rnacentral:rRNA from 1 species